rnacentral:lncRNA from 1 species
CCUUGUAUAAGCCAUAGGCAAUCCUCCCCUUGAGCUAGCUUUUGAGGUGAGUUAGGCCUGACUCAAAUUUAACUAUAUAUAUAUAUAUAAGUAAAGAGAAGAGAGAGACAGAGAGAGGAUGAUUACAAUAAGGAGGACAAGCUAUACUUAGGUAACAGGAAUAGAAAAUAAAAGAAAAAUUAAUAAAGCCAUCCAGUCAUGUUGGAAGCUUGCAAAAAGCAAGGCCUUUCAAAGGCCCAAAAGUAUAAACAUUUAAGAAGCUAAAGGUACAUUUUUAUCCCACAAUUACCAUUACAUAAAAGAAUUAUCCUUAAUCUUUGCAUUUCACACCAACCAAAUACACAAUCCCCAUGCACAUAGCAGAACAAACUAUAAACAAUGUGCCUUCCGUCGUCCAAAUCCUCUAAAUUGUGUUUAUAAAGCAUCUCCAAAAAUUGCUGGCCCAAUGCAAUACUCAGAAAAAUCAAAAGGAUAAUUCUAAUAUACCAAAAUGUAAAACUACAUUGAGAACUAUAAUAAACCUAAUAUUCUUUGUGAUUCUGUAAUUAUCUUAUACAAGUAAAGGUUAGUAACACAUGCUUAAUGAGUUGCAAAGAGAGCAAUUUAAGAAAAAAUUAAAUGAAAUCAGGCAGACUCAUUGUGUGAUGAGCAUUUCACGUGCCACCACAAAAGGUGCCAAAAAUAAAGAUGACAUAAGUUAUCUAGGAUUGUUCUUUUACAAUUAAAACAAUAUAUUUGAAGAAUUUUGGGAAAUUUUAGAGUAUUCUUAUACUUCACUCUUAAUCUUUACAAUUGGUUUACAUGAUUAUUUAUACACAAAAAAUUACAACUAAACAAGAAACAAAUAAUCAAAUAAUAAUUACAAAGAUAAUUAAGGAUCCUAAUCAAAUUAUAUCCUUAGAAUCAGCAAAUAAGUCAAAGCUCCCCAACUAGCAAAUCAGAUUAUGAUAGAUCUUAUUGUUGAACCCUUUAGUAAACACAUCUGCAAGUUGCCCAGUAAAAGUCACGUGAACUCAGCUCAAAGACACUGUCUGUUAAAUUUUCUUUAAUGAAGUGCCGAUCAAUUUCAAUGUGGUUCGUUCGGUCAUAUUGGACUGAAUUUUGUGUUAUACUGAUGGUAGCUUUGUUGUCACAAUACAAAACUAUUGUGUUUCUUCACACACACAUUGGGCUAUUGAGCAACAACACUUUAUCUUUUGCUCCUCCAAGUGACAAGAUUCUUAGCCAGAGGUGGAUCUCUUGUCAUCGAGAGAUUCUAUCCAAAAUGCAUAUGUAAAUGUUUCAACUCGGGAGUGACCAUGUUUGAAGUAAAAAAGCCAUUUCCCUAGCGUAGACUUGAAGUAUUUUAAUGCGAAGUACAGCCUGUAUAUGAGUCUCGCGAACCUGUAUAUGAGCCUCGCGAGUGUACUUCCUUUGGGAGAUCAAUUACCUAGAAAAUAUUGCAGUUUUCCUAAAUCUUUGAUUUCAAAGUCUUGAGCCAACAACCUUUUUAGUUGAGUCAUUUUCUCUUUGUCAUCACCUAUCACCAGUAUAUCAUCAACAUACACAAUAAGAAGAGUGAUCUUACCUUGUGAUGUUUAAUAAACAGAGUGUGAUCAACAUUACUCUGUUGAUAACCAAAGGACAUCAUGGUUAUGCUAACCCUAUCAAACCAAGUUAUGAGAGAUUGUUUUAGCCUAUACAAUUUAACCUGCAUGAUUUUCCUUGUGUCUUCUCAUCAACGAACCCAAGAAGGAUCUCCAUGAACACUUUUUCCUCUAAAUCUCCAUGGAGAAAAGCAUUCUCACAUCAAACUGCUGUAAUUUCUAGUCAAAGUUGGCUGCACAAAAUAAUAGGACUAUGAUUGAAUUCAUUUUUGUAAUUGGGGCAAAUAUUUCUUAAUAAUCCACUCCAUAAGUUUGGAUUAAUCCUUUAGCAACCAAUCUGGCCUUAAACCAUUCAAUUGUGCCAUCAGUUUUGUAUUUCACUGUGAACACCUACUUUCAUCCCUUCAAUCAUUGCUCCCUUCUAUUUAGAAUCUACAAGAGCUUCCUUCCAAAGGAAUAGAUACAAAAAAAAUAGACAAGACAAAAGUUCUAUAGGAAGGAGACAAUGACGAAAUAUGGUGUUUAGUACAAGAUCUGACUCCUUUUUUGUGCAAAAGAUUUAUCUAAGUUAUUGGAGUAUUCAAGAGUUGUGGGUAACUCACUAAAAGAAGACUAUUGACUCUGAGUAGACUACAUAAUAGCUUCUUCUGUCUUGCCUCUCCUCGAAUACCUCCUCAAAUCUAUUUUGUCCAAACGUCCAAUUCUCUCUCUCCUCUGAUUGGACAUCUCUCCCUGUCUACUAGAACUCAAACUCUCUAGUUGAACCAUAUCAUUUAGAAUCACAGAAUUCGAGAUCACCUCUUCUUACUCAUUUUUCUGCCCCUGAAGAGGUGAGUGGAUGGUACUGAAAUAAGAUUCAGUUUCUCGAAAGAUAAUAUUCAUACUAAUAAAAUAUUUUCUAGAUGGAGGGUGAUAACACCUAUAUCCUUUCUGUAUUGGAAAAUACCCAACAAAUACACAUUUGAAGGCCUUGGGGUCUAACUUUCCCGCCGUCCUAAUAUGGACAAAGCAAACACACCCAAAUACUUUUGUUUGAACAAUAUAUAAAUUCUUCCCUUCUAGAACCUUUAAAGGACUCAUUAAGUCAAUGACCUUGAGGGGCAUUCCAUUGAUAAGAUAGGCAUAUACAAGGACUGCAUCUCCCUUGUUGAAUCCCACAUCGGUUGUGGAAAGGGGUAAUGUGCCCCUUAUAUGGACCAUAGACACUCCUCCCCCUUAAGCUAGCUUUUGGGGUGAGUUAGGCCUGGCACAAAUUUAACAUCCCCAAAGCAUAUAUGCUUUGGAUAGGUUCAUGGUAAACAUAAGAGAUUGAGCUACCUCCAAUAGAUGCCUAUUUUUUCUUUAAGCAAUGUCAUUUUGAGUACUUGUAUAAAGACAACUGAUCUGGUGUACUGUCCCAUUAUUCUUCUCCAAAUAAGCAAAAAAACUACUAUCCAUGUAUUCUCUUCCAUUGUCAAUUCUAGUAUCAAAUUGAAUACAAAUCAUUUUAUAACAGGAUUGAAAACAAGAAAAAAUUACUUUUAGCCUUAAUCAAAUAAACCCAAAUCAUUCGAGUGCAACAAUCAAUAAAGAGACUGUUUAAGUAAGCCUCCAAAUAUCAGAAUGAAUAAUCACAAUUGAAUCCAACAUCGGUUGUGGAAAGGGGUAAUGUGCCCCUUAUAUGGGCCAUAGGCACUCCUCCCCCUUGAGCUAGCUUUUGGGGCGAGUUAAAUCUGGCCCAAAUUUAAC